GUCUCCAUGGCGCAAUCGGUUAGCGCGUUCCGCUGUUAACCGAAAGGUUGAUGGUUCAAGUCCAUCUGGGAACG
rnacentral:tRNA from 1 species